rnacentral:tRNA from 3 species
GGGCGCAUAGCUCAGUCGGUAGAGCAGCUGACUCUUAAUCAGCGGGUCCAGGGUUCGAGUCCCUGUGCGCCCUCCA